AAAAAUGCGAUCCCAUUAAAAUGGGAAAAAGCAAGAUAAGGGGGAAUAUAGCGAUGAAAACCUAAAAAUCAUUAUUCAUUUUGCAUUGUAAGUUUUGGUGAAGAGGAAAACGCCGAGAUGCUAGGGUUUGGACUGAAGAAAAAAAUUCAGAGAGCUGCGUGAUGACUCCUUUUUGGCAUCUUUUUGGGACUUAAACUGGUCUGCUCCAUGCUUGGAAUUGAAAGGGGUUUUCCUUAAAACCUCGACAUUGCUCCAUUUUUUGAAAUAUGAAAGGACAAGGAGGAGAUUGGAAGAGAAAAGAUGUCGGGAAUGCAAACCUACAACUUCGAGAGCAGACUUAUGCCAGCCAUAUACCCCUAGGCAAUGGCUGGUUCCCUUCUUAUCUCCUCUAUGCAUUUGUUUUGUUUAAUUCAGCUUUUCUCCUUUGCAUAGGAAAAUAAGGAUCACUCUCACGGUCUUGUGUGAGAGAAAACUUAUUCUGUAGAUUACUUUUCUCUAAAUCCCUUCAACUGUAUAAAAUACAAAGAAUUUGAAAAAUAAUUGAAAGAUUUUUCUAAAA